rnacentral:rRNA from 1 species
UACGAAGGGGGCUAGCGUUGCUCGGAAUCACUGGGCGUAAAGCGCACGUAGGCGGCUUUCUAAGUCAGGGGUGAAAUCCUGGAGCUCAACUCCAGAACUGCCUUUGAUACUGGAGAGCUUGAGUCCGGGAGAGGUGAGUGGAACUCCGAGUGUAGAGGUGAAAUUCGUAGAUAUUCGCAAGAACACCAGUGGCGAAGGCGGCUCACUGGCCCGGUACUGACGCUGAGGUGCGGAAAGCGUG